AUUGAACGCUGGCGGCAUGCCUUACACAUGCAAGUCGAACGGCAGCACGGGGCAACCUGGUGGCGAGUGGCGAACGGGUGAGUAAUGCAUCGGAACGUACCUUUCAGUGGGGGAUAACGUAGCGAAAGUUACGCUAAUACCGCAUAUUCUGUGAGCAGGAAAGCAGGGGAUCGCAAGACCUUGCGCUGAUUGAGCGGCCGAUGUCAGAUUAGCUAGUUGGUGAGGUAAAGGCUCACCAAGGCGACGAUCUGUAGCUGGUCUGAGAGGACGACCAGCCACACUGGGACUGAGACACGGUCCAGACUCCUACGGGAGGCAGCAGUGGGGAAUUUUGGACAAUGGGGGCAACCCUGAUCCAGCCAUGCCGCGUGAGUGAAGAAGGCCUUCGGGUUGUAAAGCUCUUUCGGCCGGGAAGAAAUCGCACGGGCUAAUACCCUGUGUGGAUGACGGUACCGGAAUAAGAAGCACCGGCUAACUACGUGCCAGCCGCCGCAGUAACAC
rnacentral:rRNA from 1 species